rnacentral:rRNA from 1 species
GUGUCAGCAGCCGCGGUAAGACAGAGGGUGCGAACGUUGCUCGGAAUGACUGGGCGUAAAGCGCGUGUAGGCGGCCGCGCACGUCGGGUGUGAAAACCCGGGGCUCAACCCCGGGCGUGCAUUCGAUACGACGCGGCUGGAGGCCUGUAGAGGAGAGCGGAAUUCCCGGUGUAGAGGUGAAAUUCGUAGAUAUCGGGAGGAACACCAGUGGCGCAGGCGGCUCUCUGGACAGGUUCUGACGCUGAGACGCGAAAGCGUGGGUAGCAAACAGGAUUAGAAACCCCUGUAGUCC